rnacentral:rRNA from 1 species
ACGGCAGCGCGGGGCAACCUGGCGGCGAGUGGCGAACGGGUGAGUAAUAUAUCGGAACGUACCCUGGAGUGGGGGAUAACGUAGCGAAAGUUACGCUAAUACCGCAUACGAUCUAAGGAUGAAAGCAGGGGACCGCAAGGCCUUGUGCUCCUGGAGCGGCCGAUAUCUGAUUAGCUAGUUGGUGGGGUAAAGGCCCACCAAGGCAUCGAUCAGUAGCUGGUCUGAGAGGACGACCAGCCACACUGGAACUGAGACACGGUCCAGACUCCUACGGGAGGCAGCAGUGGGGAAUUUUGGACAAUGGGCGCAAGCCUGAUCCAGCAAUGCCGCGUGAGUGAAGAAGGCCUUCGGGUUGUAAAGCUCUUUUGUCAGGGAAGAAACGGUGGAGGCUAAUAUCCUUUGCUAAUGACGGUACCUGAAGAAUAAGCACCGGCUAACUACGUGCCAGCAGCCGCGGUAAUACGUAGGGUGCAAGCGUUAAUCGGAAUUACUGGGCGUAAAGCGUGCGCAGGCGGUUUUGUAAGUUUGUCGUGAAAUCCCCGGGCUCAACCUGGGAAUGGCGAUGAAGACUGCAAGGCUAGAGUUUGGCAGAGGGGGGUAGAAUUCCACGUGUAGCAGUGAAAUGCGUAGAU